GAUGGUUGAUACAUGUCUACACAUUUUUCCAGAGCAAUUUGUAGUGGAAGAAGUACCCUCAGACUGAUAAGAAGGCAACGGUUAUUUCUAUGAAGUAACGGUUAUUGUUGUAGAUCAAGGAUGACAAGAAGGCAACUAAUGUACCAGGUGCAGGUAAUCAGCAACCUAGUACGCAUGGAUGUGAUGACUUUGAAGUGUUCUGGAGCAUUUGGCUGUCCGUAGUAUUUUGGACCAGCCAACUUAAUUGUAAUCCUGAAUCUUAUGUGUUUUGUGGACCAUUUGGUGCUCAAGUGUUAUGGAGUAGAAAUCUUGUGCUCAUGGAUGUUACUCAAUUAUUUGGACCAUUUAGUUUUUGAAGUAUUUUAGAUCAGCGAGUAGGGGUCCUUUAUGUGACUUGUGUUUUCUGGAUGGUUGCCAAGAUGGCCAAACUUUGCUUUUGUGUAGAUUGACUUGUGCUUGAACCUGCAAACAGUGUGUGUGUGUGUGUGUGUAAUUUUGUUACCAUUUUAUCAAUGAUUGUGCAAUGUGUUCAUCUUGA